CCAAUAGCGUAUAUUAAAGUUGCUGCAGUUAAAAAGCUCGUAGUUGAAUUUCGGGACUAAUAUGUCGGUCGUGCCUCGGUACGUACUGGUAUUUUUGGUUUCUCCCUUCUGACGAACCUUGAUGUCAUUAAUUUGGUGUCUUGGGAAAUCAGGACUGUUACUUUGAAAAAAUUAGAGUGUUUAAAGCAGGCUCACGCUUGAAUACAUUAGCAUGGAAUAAUGAAAUAGGACGUUUGAUUCUAUUUUGUUGGUUUCUAGGAUCGACGUAAUGAUUAAUAGGGAUAGUUGGGGGCAUUAGUAUUCAAUUGUCAGAGGUGAAAUUCUUGGAUUUAUUGAAGACUAACUACUGCGAAAGCAUUUGCCAAGGAUGUUUUCAUUAAUCAAGAACGAAAGUUAGGGGAUCGAAGACGAUCAGAUACCGUCGUAGUCUUAACCAUAAACUAUGCCGACUAGGGAUCGGACGAAGUUAAUUUUAUAAUGACGCGUUCGGCACCUUACG
rnacentral:misc_RNA from 1 species